AUGUACAACAAACGAGUCGUUAGAUGUGCUAAAAGACGNNNNNNNNNNNNNNNNNNNNNNNNNNNNNNNNNNNNNNNNNNNNNNNNNNNNNNNNNNNNNNNNNNNNNNNNNNNNNNNNNNNNNNNNNNNNNNNNNNNNAAAAAAAGUGGUGAUGGUGCCCCUGAUGAGAAAGAGGAAGAAGAUGUUCAGAUUAGUAUGAGUGACGGUGUAGUUUAUAGUAGCAAUUUGGAUGAUUCUAAUAGCAUUAACAACAGUACUAACACUAGUACUAGUAGUAGUAGUAGUAGUAGUAGUAACUUCGGUAAUAGCGGGAAGAAAAAAAAAAAAAGAAAAAAAAAAAAAAAGUUACACCAUGUACAUACUAUGUUAGAUAAAAACGAAGCAAAUAUUAGUAACGUAAAUAAGAACGUCGAUUUCGACCACAAUUUAGGCUUGGGUUCAUGUAUAAUAAUAAAUUUAAGAGAUAAUGAAAAUGAAGUUGUUACAUUAUCAAAAGAAGUAAAGCUUAAGGAUUUGGUGGAUCCGUUUGUAUGUAAUUUGCUUGGGUCAGACGGAUUGAAACAGAAUGCUGAUGGGUGGGAUGUCAUUGAUAAUGACAUGUAUAAUGAUGGAAACAGUUCGUCAUCAAGUGAUAGUAAUAGUACGUAUUAUAAGUACCAAAAAUUUGUACCAUAUGUUGAUAAAAGCGAUUCUGAUAGUAGUUAUUUUACACAUAUGGAUGAUAACUUAAACGAUGAAAUAGCUGUAUGUGAAAAGAAAAUAAAACAAAGUGGUAAAUCCAUAAAAGCUGAUAAACGUUUAUUCGAAAAAUUAAAAUCAGAUUGUGUUAGUUUUAUGAAGUAUAAAAAUGUUAAUAAAGUUUUAUGGUAUAAUAAAACAUUAAACAAAUAUGAUGUUUUGAAAACUUUUUUUAAAAACAUAAGGAUGUUAUAUUCUUAUGUAUACAAUUUACAUGAUUUUAUUCCAUUAUACCUUAUUCAAAAUAUCUUAUUACAUUAUAGUGGAACGUAUAAAAAUGUUAAUCAAUAUUAUUACUAUAAUGAUCAGAAUAGUGAUAUUAGUAUGCACAACUACAAAAAGAAAUAUGACAAAGAAUAUGAACAGACAAUGUAUUCAAAAGAAUUUUUUAAAACUAAAACAUGGAAAAAAGUAUAUAACAAAUAUAAACAUAUAAUAAACCAUAAAGAUAAAAUAAAGGCGAAAACACACCUUUCUAAUGAUAUUAAUUUCCAAAAUCAGGAUCAAACUUGUGAUCAUUAUACAUAUGGAAAUCAUAACGAUAGUUGUAAUAAUGGUAUUAAUUUCCAUUGUAACAAAAAAAAAAAAAAAAAAACCAAUUUUCCUGAAAAUAAUAAUUAUGAUAUUUGUUCGACUUUUAACAAAGGAGCAGAUAAAAACAGGGAGUUUAAUUCAAAUGAUAAUAAAAAUGAACAGUUACAAUUUUUAUCAAGUACUGCACAUGGUCAAUUUAAGAAGAGUAUGAACGACGAAAGUUUGUUAACACCUGUUGAUGCUACUAAUACUACUACUACCAAUACUACUACUACUGUUAGUACAACUUCCAAUUUUGCAAACUUCGCUGAGAGAACGAACGAGAACGAUGUGACUAUUGGGAAGGAGUUAUUUUCUUCAGCAAUAUCAACCGAAGCGGUUCCAGCCGAAACAGUACCAACCGAAGCGGUACCACCCGAAACAGUACCAACCGAAUUAGAGUACACCGUUUUGAACGAACAAAAGAAAAAACACACACGAAUAAACAAACUUGACGAAGAAAUAGAAAGUAACAUAAGCAACAUUUUAUUUGACGAUACUAAAAAAAAAAUGGAUGAAGUAAUGUAUGAUGAUAAACAAAAAUAUAAUAAAGAUUUAUAUUCAGUUAACAAAAAAAUAAAAACGAAUCAUAACCCUUGUUCUAACACUGUAAGUUUCAAUACCAGUUGUUCGAGCGAAAAAAAUGAAAAAGAUAAAGAUAGUCAAGAUUAUGAUAAACAACAUAAUUUGUUUUCAAAAAAUGAAAAACACGAUGAUGGUGAUAAUAAUAACAGAAACGUAAAGGACAGCAAUGGAUGGGCUAGUUACAAUUUCGACCGCAACCAUUUUGACAGUAACAAUUUAAAUAGUGAACAAAAUAAGACCCAAAAUUCAAAAUAUUUUUUUCCUAAGAACGAUAAAGAUGUAUUGAGUAUUAAAAAAUUGUUUUUAAUUUUUUAUACAUAUUUAAAAAAUAAUAAUUUUAUAGAUAGUAAAAAUAACUGCGAAAAAUUAUAUACAAAAUUUAUGAAAAAAUACUUAAAGUCAGCAAAUGUAUAUUUACAAUUCAUAUCUUAUUUGGUUUUUUCUAUUUAUGAUUAUAACGCAUCAGUAAAAAAAUAUUUGGAUUAUAUUCAUUUAUAUAGUGAUAUAAGUAAAUAUAAUAUAUUUUUACAUAUGCUUAAUAUAGAUAGAAAUUUCGACCAGAUAUACACAUAUCAAACUUUACAAUUAGUAUUCCAUCCAUAUUUCUAUUUAAUGUAUAAACUAUAUAAAUAUUUAAAAAUAGAUGCAUCACCUAUAGCAUGUCAUAACUUUUAUGAGAACUUGGAGGAAUUUAUAUCAUCAAAUAGCUUAUUUCAACCAAGUCAAAAUUAUUUUACUUUAAUAAAAAAACAUUUUAAUAAUAAAUGUGUUAUGUGUGAUAUCCACCCUCAGAAAGUACAUAUUUGUUUAUACUGUGGCUUGACUACAUGUGUAGUUGAUUCCGUAUCUAAGAAACCCGAUUUAAAAAAUUACAAGUCUUGUAUAUCGCAUGAUCUCAUGUGCGGAGGUGGACAGUGUCUGUAUUUAUGGUUGAACACGUCAAUGGUUGUAUAUGCAAGUCAAUCAAAGCUUGGGCUUUUUUCUGGACCAUAUGUUGAUAAAAAUGGUGAUAUAGACAAAGAUUUAAAGAGAGGCAAAAACCUUUAUUUGUCUUCCCAUAAGAUGAAUAAAUUAUACGAUAACCUUAUUAAUUCUUUACUUGGUAAGUUCAUAAAAAAAACGUUAUAUGUACCAUAGAGUAUAUCCUUCUG
ensembl:lncRNA